CAAAUAUGGCCCAGAACAACAAAACCUCCGGCGUUGGCGCUGCCGCUUCCUCCUUCCAACAAUCUCCUCUGUCGUCAAGAUUUCAAGAGAUACCUUCGUAUAACAACUUCAAGCCUACGAAGAAGGCGGGAGACUUGUCUGAGGCUAUGUUUGUGAAGAGGAUGGAGAAGGAGGUGGAAGACAUUAACAAGAGCGCAGAUGCGUUCAUCCGGCAGUUCAGGCAGCAUCUCCAUCUCCAGCGCCUUGACUCCAUCGAGAAUUACAGGCAGAUGCUCGCUAGAGGAGUCUAGCUCUCUUGUUUUGUGUUUAUUGGGUGUUCCUAUCUUGGUAUUGG
rnacentral:misc_RNA from 1 species